CCAAUAGCGUAUAUUAAAGUUGUUGCAGUUAAAAAGCUCGUAGUUGAAUUUCGGGAUCAAUACGUCGGUCGUGCCUCUGGUAUGAACUGGUGUUAUUGAUUCCUCCUUUCUGAUAAACCAUGAUGUCAUUAAUUUGGUGUUGUGGGGAGUCAGGACUGUUACUUUGAAAAAAUUAGAGUGUUUAAAGCAGGCCUACGCCUGAAUACAUUAGCAUGGAAUAAUGAAAUAGGACGUUCGAACCUAUUUUGUUGGUUUCUAGGAUCAACGUAAUGAUUAAUAGGGAUAGUUGGGGGCAUUAGUAUUCAAUUGUCAGAGGUGAAAUUCUUGGAUUUAUUGAAGACUAACUACUGCGAAAGCAUUUGCCAAGGAUGUUUUCAUUAAUCAAGAACGAAAGUUAGGGGAUCGAAGACGAUCAGAUACCGUCGUAGUCUUAACCAUAAACUAUGCCGACUAGGGAUCGGAUGAUGUUAAUUUUUUAAUGACUCAUUCGGCGCCUUACG
rnacentral:rRNA from 1 species